UGCGAGUCAUAUGUUCUUCGUGAACAUGGCGUACUGCUCAGUAACACGUGGAUAACCUGCCCUUGGGUCUGGGAUAACCCCGGGAAACUGGGGAUAAUACCGGAUAACGCAUAUAUGCUGGAAUGCUUUAUGCGUAAAAUGGAUUCGUCUGCCCAAGGAUGGGUCUGCGGCCUAUCAGGUAGUAGUGGGUGUAAUGUACCUACUAGCCUACAACGGGUACGGGUUGUGAGAGCAAGAGCCCGGAGAUGGAUUCUGAGACAUGAAUCCAGGCCCUACGGGGCGCAGCAGGCGCGAAAACUUUACAAUGCGGGAAACCGUGAUAAGGGGACACCGAGUGCCAGCAUCAUAUGUUGGCUGUCCAGAUGUGUAAAAUACAUCUGUUAGCAAGGGCCGGGCAAGACCGGUGCCAGCCGCCGCGGUAACACCGGCGGCCCGAGUGGUGAUCGUGAUUAUUGGGUCUAAAGGGUCCGUAGCCGGUUUGGUCAGUCCUCCGGGAAAUCUGACGGCUCAACCGUUAGGCUUUCGGUGGAUACUGCCAGACUUGGAACCGGGAGAGGUAAGAGGUACUACAGGGGUAGGAGUGAAAUCUUGUAAUCCCUGUGAGACCACCUGUGGCGAA
rnacentral:rRNA from 1 species